GUAGGUGGCAAGCGUUGUCCGGAAUUAUUGGGGCGUAAAGCGCGCGCAGGCGGUUCCUUAAGUCUGAUGUGAAAGCCCACGGGCUCAACCGUGGAGGGUCAUUGGAAACUGGAGAACUUGAGUACAGAAGAGGAAAGCGGAAUUCCACGUGUAGCGGUGAAAUGCGAAGAGAUGUGGAGGAACACCAGUGGCGAAGGCGGCUUUCUGGUCUGUAACUGACGCUGAGGCGCGAAAGCGUGGGGAGCAAACAGGAUUAGAUACCCUGGUAGUCCACGCCGUAAACGAUGAGUGCUAAGUGUUAGGGGGUUUCCGCCCCUUAGUGCUGCAGCUAACGCAUUAAGCACUCCGCCUGGGGAGUACGGCCGCAAAGGCUG
rnacentral:rRNA from 1 species